AGAGCUGUGUUCCUUCCUGAGUUUCCCGGAGGUGCUUUACGGCAGCGUUUGCAAAGCGCAGCGCCAAGUACUAGAGGGGGAGUCAGAAAGCAAAGGGCCAGAAGGCCGUCCCCCAACAGCUGCUGAAUGGAGAUCAAAGACUUGAUGAUUCUACUGGCCCAGGAUGUUCACAUGUUCAAGGGAAGAGGGAGGAGUCCACAAAAGACUAAUCUGCCCUGAACACUCAGACAAUGGCCAGACCACAUGGAAAAACAGAACUCAGGGCACUCACACCCUGCAAUCACCUGUCCAGGAAGUCAACUCCUCAUCUACAAUAAACCCAGGCCCAGGAAUGGCAGCCCAGGGAGCAAGGCACAGAGCUCUGAGCCCUCGGACGACAGUUGCUGGCUGGUCUGCUGGAAACACUGAUCAGACCUUUGGACUCAGCCGAGCCUGGCUGGAGAUGCCAAAUUGACUCAGAUUAAAUCCCUGGGGCAUAAAAUCACAAAA